UUGUCUCAAAGAUUAAGCCAUGCAUGUCUCAGUACAAGCCAAUUUAAGGUGAAACCGCGAAAGGCUCAUUAAAUCAGUUAUGGUUCCUUAGAUCGUACCCACAAUUACUUGGAUAACUGUGGUAAUUCUAGAGCUAAUACAUGCAAACAGAGCUCCGACCGGAGACGGAAGGAGUGCUUUUAUUAGAUCAAAACCAAUCGGUUUCGAGUUGGUGACUCUGAAUAACUUUACGCUGAUCGCACGGUCUUAGCACCGGCGACGCAUCUUUCAAAUGUCUGCCUUAUCAACUGUCGAUGGUAGGUUCUGCGCCUACCAUGGUCGUAACGGGUAACGGGGAAUCAGGGUUCGAUUCCGGAGAGGGAGCCUGAGAAACGGCUACCACAUCCAAGGAAGGCAGCAGGCGCGCAAAUUACCCACUCCCGGCACGGGGAGGUAGUGACGAAAAAUAACGAUACGGGACUCAUCCGAGGCCCCGUAAUCGGAAUGAGUACACUCUAAACCCUUUAACGAGGAUCAAUUGGAGGGCAAGUCUGGUGCCA
rnacentral:rRNA from 1 species